rnacentral:rRNA from 1 species
UGGGGAAUAUUGGGCAAUGGGCGAAAGCCUGACCCAGCAACGCCGCGUGAAGUAUGAAGGCCUUCGGGUUGUAAACUUCUUUGAUCAGGGAAGAAACAAAUGACGGUACCUGAAAAACAAGCCACGGCUAACUACGUGCCAGCAGCCGCGGUAAUACGUAGGUGGCAAGCGUUGUCCGGAAUUAUUGGGCGUAAAGCGCGCGCAGGUGGUUUAGAAAGUCUGAUGUGAAAGCCCACGGCUCAACCGUGGAGGGUCAUUGGAAACUAAUAAACUUGAGUGCAGGAGAGAAAAGUGGAAUUCCUAGUGUAGCGGUGAAAUGCGUAGAGAUUAGGAGGAACACCGGUGGCGAAAGCGGCUUUUUGGCCUGCAACUGACACUGAGGCGCGAAAGCGUGGGGAGCAAACAGG